rnacentral:rRNA from 1 species
UCGAGUGGCGAACGGGUGAGUAACACGUGGGUGAUCUGCCCUGCACUUUGGGAUAAGCCUGGGAAACUGGGUCUAAUACCGAAUAUGACCGCGCACUUCCUGGUGUGUGGUGGAAAGCUUUUGCGGUGUGGGAUGGGCCCGCGGCCUAUCAGCUUGUUGGUGGGGUAAUGGCCUACCAAGGCGACGACGGGUAGCCGGCCUGAGAGGGUGACCGGCCACACUGGGACUGAGAUACGGCCCAGACUCCUACGGGAGGCAGCAGUGGGGAAUAUUGCACAAUGGGCGCAAGCCUGAUGCAGCGACGCCGCGUGAGGGAUGACGGCCUUCGGGUUGUAAACCUCUUUCAAUAGGGACGAAGCGCAAGUGACGGUACCUAUAGAAGAAGGACCGGCCAACUACGUGCCAGCAGCCGCGGUAAUACGUAGGGUCCGAGCGUUGUCCGGAAUUACUGGCGUAAAGAGCUCGUAGGUGGUUUGUCGCGUUGUUCGUGAAAACUCACAGCUUAACUGUGGGCGUGCGGGCGAUACGGGCAGACUAGAGUACUGCAGGGGAGACUGGAAUUCCUGGUGUAGCGGUGGAAUGCGCAGAUAUCAGGAGGAACACCGGUGGCGAAGGCGGGUCUCUGGGCAGUAACUGACGCUGAGGAGCGAAAGCGUGGGGAGCGAACAGGAUUAGAUACCCUGGUAGUCCACGCCGUAAACGGUGGGUACUAGGUGUGGGUUUCCUUCCUUGGGAUCCGUGCCGUAGCUAACGCAUUAAGUACCCCGCCUGGGGAGUACGGCCGCAAGGCUAAAACUCAAAGAAAUUGACGGGGGCCCGCACAAGCGGCGGAGCAUGUGGAUUAAUUCGAUGCAACGCGAAGAACCUUACCUGGGUUUGACAUGCACAGGACGCCGGCAGAGAUGUCGGUUCCCUUGUGGCCUGUGUGCAGGUGGUGCAUGGCUGUCGUCAGCUCGUGUCGUGAGAUGUUGGGUUAAGUCCCGCAACGAGCGCAACCCUUGUCUCAUGUUGCCAGCACGUAAUGGUGGGGACUCGUGAGAGACUGCCGGGGUCAACUCGGAGGAAGGUGGGGAUGACGUCAAGUCAUCAUGCCCCUUAUGUCCACGGCUUCACACAUGCUACAAUGGCCGGUACAAAGGGCUGCGAUGCCGUGAGGUGGAGCGAAUCCUUUCAAAGCCGGUCUCAGUUCGGAUCGGGGUCUGCAACUCGACCCCGUGAAGUCGGAGUCGCUAGUAAUCGCAGAUCAGCAACGCUGCGGUGAAUACGUUCCCGGGCCUUGUACACACCGCCCGUCACGUCAUGAAAGUCGGUAACACCCGAAGCCGGUGGCCUAACC